UACCUGCAGCUCAAGUGGUGAUCGCUAUUAUUGGGCCUAAAACGUCCGUAGCCGGUUUAUUAAAUGCCCGGGUAAAUCGUACGGCUUAACCGUACGAAUUCCGGGUAGACUGAUAGGCUUGAGACUGGGAGAAGCAAGAGGUACUCCUGGGGUAGAGGUGAAAUUCUGUAAUCCUAGGGGGACGACCAGUGGCGAAAGCGUCUUGCUAGAACGGGUCUGACGGUGAGGGGCGAAGCCCUGGGGCGCAAACGGGAUUAGAUACCCCGGUAGUCCAGGGUGUAAACGCUGCUUGCUUGAUGUUAGUUGGGCUCAGGGCCCAGUUAGUGUCGGAGAGAAGUUGUUAAGCAAGCUGCCUGGGAAGUACGGUCGCAAGACUGAAACCUAAAGGAAUUGGCGGGGGAGCACUGCAACGGGUGGAGCGUGCGGUUU
rnacentral:rRNA from 1 species